ACCAAUCGAGACCACAAGAGGUAGUUUGAACCACCUUUCAACGCAACCAGGACAGUAACUAGCUUGCUGAAGUUGUUUCCCUCCAUCUUCUCUUGCUUGAACCAGAAAUGACCAGAAAGCUUCAAACUUGCAACUCAGUUGAAGAACACACAGUACCAGACUUCAAGAACACACGAACUCAAAGCACAACACCACAUGACUCAACUUUAUCACACAGCUUCACGGA
rnacentral:lncRNA from 1 species